AAAAAGGCCUACUCCAGGGUGAGUCAGAUACGCAGGUGUGAGGGAUAGUGUGUGUUGGAUUUUGAACACAUGCAGAUACUCGUGUAGCCUAGUGAGGCUUCUCAGGACUGGAGGGUUCAGGGCCGGGUACAAGGCGCUCUCUCAGCAGGGAGUGGAGCGAGCUUGGUGACACAGCGUAGAUAGAGCUGUGUCUCAGGGCCCAUCCUUUCCCUCUGACACCUGCUGGGCACAGAAGGGAGGCUGAUGGGACCCAGGACCGCCCACCCCACCCCCGCCAGGGUGAGAUUAGUGACUGGUGGUCGUUAGCAUCGUGAGAGAUGCUCAGAAGUGGUCUCUGCUUGCCGGUCUAGCAAGCAUGGUGGCCGUCGACAUGUCUCACCAGGAACCUCCCUAGCCACUGUGGCCUCUGUCUGGAAUAGGGAGAUGUUUUUCUUGCAACUCCAGAGCCCAGAGGUAAAAGCUACUUUCUGGAGUGUGUUUGAACUUGUGCACUUAGUGCCAACCUUGGACCAGAUCUUUUUUACCCUUGUACCUCCAUAGAC
rnacentral:lncRNA from 1 species